UACGGAGGAUGCGAGCGUUAUCCGGAUUUAUUGGGUUUAAAGGGUGCGUAGGCGGCCUGCCAAGUCAGCGGUAAAAUUGCGGGGCUCAACCCCGUACAGCCGUUGAAACUGCCGGGCUCGGGUGGGCGAGAAGUAUGCGGAAUGCGUGGUGUAGCGGUGAAAUGCAUAGAUAUCACGCAGAACCCCGAUUGCGAAGGCAGCAUACCGGCGCCCUACUGACGCUGAGGCACGAAAGUGCGGGGAUCAAACAGG
rnacentral:rRNA from 1 species